rnacentral:tRNA from 1 species
GGUAGAGGAAUCGGUCAACUCAUCAGGCUCAUGACCUGAAGACUGCAGGUUCGAAUCCUGUCC